rnacentral:rRNA from 1 species
GGGUUGUGAGGUUAAGCGACUAAGCGUACACGGUGGAUGCCCUGGCAGUCAGAGGCGAUGAAGGACGUGCUAAUCUGCGAUAAGCGUCGGUAAGGUGAUAUGAACCGUUAUAACCGGCGAUUUCCGAAUGGGGAAACCCAGUGUGUUUCGACACACUAUCAUUAACUGAAUCCAUAGGUUAAUGAGGCGAACCGGGGGAACUGAAACAUCUAAGUACCCCGAGGAAAAGAAAUCAACCGAGAUUCCCCCAGUAGCGGCGAGCGAACGGGGAGCAGCCCAGAGCCUGAAUCAGUGUGUGUGUUAGUGGAAGCGUCUGGAAAGGCGCGCGAUACAGGGUGACAGCCCCGUACACAAAAAUGCACAUGCUGUGAGCUCGAUGAGUAGGGCGGGACACGUGGUAUCCUGUCUGAAUAUGGGGGGACCAUCCUCCAAGGCUAAAUACUCCUGACUGACCGAUAGUGAACCAGUACCGUGAGGGAAAGGCGAAAAGAACCCCGGCGAGGGGAGUGAAAAAGAACCUGAAACCGUGUACGUACAAGCAGUGGGAGCACGCUUAGGCGUGUGACUGCGUACCUUUUGUAUAAUGGGUCAGCGACUUAUAUUCUGUAGCAAGGUUAACCGAAUAGGGGAGCCGAAGGGAAACCGAGUCUUAACUGGGCGUUAAGUUGCAGGGUAUAGACCCGAAACCCGGUGAUCUAGCCAUGGGCAGGUUGAAGGUUGGGUAACACUAACUGGAGGACCGAACCGACUAAUGUUGAAAAAUUAGCGGAUGACUUGUGGCUGGGGGUGAAAGGCCAAUCAAACCGGGAGAUAGCUGGUUCUCCCCGAAAGCUAUUUAGGUAGCGCCUCGUGAAUUCAUCUCCGGGGGUAGAGCACUGUUUCGGCAAGGGGGUCAUCCCGACUUACCAACCCGAUGCAAACUGCGAAUACCGGAGAAUGUUAUCACGGGAGACACACGGCGGGUGCUAACGUCCGUCGUGAAGAGGGAAACAACCCAGACCGCCAGCUAAGGUCCCAAAGUCAUGGUUAAGUGGGAAACGAUGUGGGAAGGCCCAGACAGCCAGGAUGUUGGCUUAGAAGCAGCCAUCAUUUAAAGAAAGCGUAAUAGCUCACUGGUCGAGUCGGCCUGCGCGGAAGAUGUAACGGGGCUAAACCAUGCACCGAAGCUGCGGCAGCGACGCUUAUGCGUUGUUGGGUAGGGGAGCGUUCUGUAAGCCUGUGAAGGUGUACUGUGAGGUAUGCUGGAGGUAUCAGAAGUGCGAAUGCUGACAUAAGUAACGAUAAAGCGGGUGAAAAGCCCGCUCGCCGGAAGACCAAGGGUUCCUGUCCAACGUUAAUCGGGGCAGGGUGAGUCGACCCCUAAGGCGAGGCCGAAAGGCGUAGUCGAUGGGAAACAGGUUAAUAUUCCUGUACUUGGUGUUACUGCGAAGGGGGGACGGAGAAGGCUAUGUUGGCCGGGCGACGGUUGUCCCGGUUUAAGCGUGUAGGCUGGUUUUCCAGGCAAAUCCGGAAAAUCAAGGCUGAGGCGUGAUGACGAGGCACUACGGUGCUGAAGCAACAAAUGCCCUGCUUCCAGGAAAAGCCUCUAAGCAUCAGGUAACAUCAAAUCGUACCCCAAACCGACACAGGUGGUCAGGUAGAGAAUACCAAGGCGCUUGAGAGAACUCGGGUGAAGGAACUAGGCAAAAUGGUGCCGUAACUUCGGGAGAAGGCACGCUGAUAUGUAGGUGAAGUCCCUCGCGGAUGGAGCUGAAAUCAGUCGAAGAUACCAGCUGGCUGCAACUGUUUAUUAAAAACACAGCACUGUGCAAACACGAAAGUGGACGUAUACGGUGUGACGCCUGCCCGGUGCCGGAAGGUUAAUUGAUGGGGUUAGCGCAAGCGAAGCUCUUGAUCGAAGCCCCGGUAAACGGCGGCCGUAACUAUAACGGUCCUAAGGUAGCGAAAUUCCUUGUCGGGUAAGUUCCGACCUGCACGAAUGGCGUAAUGAUGGCCAGGCUGUCUCCACCCGAGACUCAGUGAAAUUGAACUCGCUGUGAAGAUGCAGUGUACCCGCGGCAAGACGGAAAGACCCCGUGAACCUUUACUAUAGCUUGACACUGAACAUUGAGCCUUGAUGUGUAGGAUAGGUGGGAGGCUU